UACGUAGGGGACGCAAGCGUUGUCCGGAAUCAUUGGGCGUAAAGCGCGCGUAGGCGGCCCUGUAAGUCCGUUGUGAAAGUCAAAGGCUCAACCUUUGAAAGCCGAUGGAUACUGCAGGGCUAGAGUUCGGAAGAGGCGAGUGGAAUUCCUGGUGUAGCGGUGGAAUGCGCAGAUAUCAGGAGGAACACCAAUAGCGAAGGCAGCUCGCUGGGACGUUACUGACGCUGAGACGCGAAAGCGUGGGGAGCAAACAGG
rnacentral:rRNA from 1 species